rnacentral:lncRNA from 1 species
CAGAGUAUGAGCUUCAGCAGUAGGAAACAGCCGGUGAACCAAUUUCAAACCAACAAUGAUGUGAAGCAGUUCAAAACCCAGUUUUAAUCGAAUAAUAACCCAGAAAAUUUCAAACCUGACUUUCAAGAACUCGAGUUCAAUCCAUUUUGGACCCAAAAUAAAUCAAAAAUGAUUUCAAAGACUGAAAAACCUCAAGCACUAUGGAAAAGAACUUUAAUGGAACAGUAUUUUCUAUAUUUUUGCCUGUUUUUAAUUUCUGCAAAAUUUUCU